UGCGAGUCGAGCGGUACAGAGAUAGCUUGCUAUCUGCUGACGAGCGGCGGACGGGUGAGUAAUGCUUGGGAAUAUGCCUUAUGGUGGGGGACAACAGUUGGAAACGACUGCUAAUACCGCAUAACGUCUACGGACCAAAGGGGGGGAUCUUCGGACCUCCCGCCAUUUGAUUAGCCCAAGUGAGAUUAGCUAGUUGGUGAGGUAAUGGCUCACCAAGGCGACGAUCUCUAGCUGGUUUGAGAGGAUGAUCAGCCACACUGGGACUGAGACACGGCCCAGACUCCUACGGGAGGCAGCAGUGGGGAAUAUUGCACAAUGGGCGAAAGCCUGAUGCAGCCAUGCCGCGUGUGUGAAGAAGGCCUUCGGGUUGUAAAGCACUUUCAGUUGUGAGGAAAGGUGGGUAGUUAAUAGCUGCUCACUGUGACGUUAGCAACAGAAGAAGCACCGGCUAACUUCGUGCCAGCAGCCGCGGUAAUACGAGGGGUGCAAGCGUUAAUCGGAAUUACUGGGCGUAAAGCGUUCGUAGGCGGUCUAUUAAGCAAGACGUGAAAGCCCAGGGCUCAACCUUGGAACUGCAUUUUGAACUGGUAGACUAGAGUACUGUAGAGGGUGGUGGAAUUUCCAGUGUAGCGGUGAAAUGCGUAGAGAUUGGAAGGAACAUCAGUGGCGAAGGCGGCCACCUGGACAGAUACUGACGCUGAGGAACGAAAGCGUG
rnacentral:rRNA from 1 species